rnacentral:rRNA from 1 species
ACGCUGGCGGCGUGCCUAAUACAUGCAAGUAGAACGCACAGGAUGCACCGUAGUUUACUACACCGUAUUCUGUGAGUUGCGAACGGGUGAGUAACGCGUAGGUAACCUGCCUGGUAGCGGGGGAUAACUAUUGGAAACGAUAGCUAAUACCGCAUAAGAACAUUUACUGCAUGGUAGAUGUUUAAAAGGUGCAAAUGCAUCACUACCAGAUGGACCUGCGUUGUAUUAGCUAGUAGGUGAGGUAACGGCUCACCUAGGCGACGAUACAUAGCCGACCUGAGAGGGUGAUCGGCCACACUGGGACUGAGACACGGCCCAGACUCCUACGGGAGGCAGCAGUAGGGAAUCUUCGGCAAUGGGGGGAACCCUGACCGAGCAACGCCGCGUGAGUGAAGAAGGUUUUCGGAUCGUAAAGCUCUGUUGUUAAGGAAGAACGAGUGUGAGGAUGGAAAGUUCAUACUGUGACGGUACUUAACCAGAAAGGGACGGCUAACUACGUGCCAGCAGCCGCGGUAAUACGUAGGUCCCGAGCGUUGUCCGGAUUUAUUGGGCGUAAAGCGAGCGCAGGCGGUUAGAUAAGUCUGAAGUUAAAGGCAGUGGCUCAACCAUUGUAGGCUUUGGAAACUGUUUAACUUGAGAGCAGAAGGGGAGAGUGGAAUUCCAUGUGUAGCGGUGAAAUGCGUAGAUAUAUGGAGGAACACCGGUGGCGAAAGCGGCUCUCUGGUCUGUAACUGACGCUGAGGCUCGAAAGCGUGGGGAGCGAACAGGAUUAGAUACCCUGGUAGUCCACGCCGUAAACGAUGAGUGCUAGGUGUUGGGUCCUUUCCGGGACUCAGUGCCGCAGCUAACGCAUUAAGCACUCCGCCUGGGGAGUACGACCGCAAGGUUGAAACUCAAAGGAAUUGACGGGGGCCCGCAC